CAAAUCAUCAUGUGCUGCCAC
rnacentral:miRNA from 1 species